GGAAUUCGGAGGCCCAACUCCCAUCAGACUCUUCCCGGGGGGACCCUAGUAAUUCAGCCAGGGAGUGGGAAUUGACGUUAAAAAAACGCGAGCUGUUCCUCACGUCCCGCGGCGGAAGGGGAUAAAGGCGCGAAAAUUCUAGAGAAAGCGCGAGAUGGCGGCACACACGAACAGGAGCUAAGGUCGCAGAUUUGUCUCAGCACUUCGUUUCCCCUUUUCUAUCAGGAGCAAGAGAAACCAAAAGGCUGCAGGUGGGAAGUAAUCCUUCAUUUUCUAUCUCCUUUGUUCCCUUGUUUGAUUCGUACGGGAAAGUGUAGAGAGGUCUCUGUCUUACAUAGUAAGUGAUGGCCUUUUUAGAAGCAUAGGUGGGACAUGGAUGGGUAUAAUUAGUGGAUGAAAUCUCUUGUGCUUGU